CCGGCUUACCAACCCGAUGCAAACUGCGAAUACCGGAGAAUGUUAUCACGGGAGACACACGGCGGGUGCUAACGUCCGUCGUGAAGAGGGAAACAACCCAGACCGCCAGCUAAGGUCCCAAAGUCAUGGUUAAGUGGGAAACGAUGUGGGAAGGCCCAGACAGCCAGGAUGUUGGCUUAGAAGCAGCCAUCAUUUAAAGAAAGCGUAAUAGCUCACUGGUCGAGUCGGCCUGCGCGGAAGAUGUAACGGGGCUAAACCAUGCACCGAAGCUGCGGCAGCGACACUGUGUGUUGUUGGGUA
rnacentral:rRNA from 3 species